AGUGAACGCUGGCGGUAGGCCUAACACAUGCAAGUCGAACGGCAGCACAGGAGAGCUUGCUCUCUGGGUGGCGAGUGGCGGACGGGUGAGGAAUACAUCGGAAUCUACUUUUUCGUGGGGGAUAACGUAGGGAAACUUACGCUAAUACCGAAUACGACCUACGGGUGAAAGCAGGGGAUCUUCGGACCUUGCGCGAUUGAAUGAGCCGAUGUCGGAUUAGCUAGUUGGCGGGGUAAAGGCCCACCAAGGCGACGAUACGUAGCUGGUCUGAGAUGAUGAUCAGCCAAACUGGAACUGAGACACGGUCCAGACUCCUACGGGAGGCAGCAGUGGGGAAUAUUGGACAAUGGGCGCAAGCCUGAUCCAGCCAUACCGCGUGGGUGAAGAAGGCCUUCGGGUUGUAAAGCCCUUUUGUUGGGAAAGAAAUCCAGCUGGUUAAUACCCGGUUGGGAUGACGGUACCCAAAGAAUAAGCACCGGCUAACUUCGUGCCAGCAGCCGCAGUAA
rnacentral:rRNA from 1 species